rnacentral:lncRNA from 10 species
CAAGCAUCCCCUUUCCCUGCGUUCUCACCAACAUUUGUUAUUUUUUGUUUUUUAAUCAAAGUUGGUUUAAUUGGAGAUGAUUCCUUCCAAAUUAUUUUAUUUACUGCAUAAUAAUUAGCAAAUCUGACUUGAAAUUUCCAUCUGAGAUGGGUGAGGGGCAAUCUCUUAAAUACAUGUCAGUCACCCAUCUCAGAUAGGUGAGAUGAAGCUUAGUUUAAAAAUUUGGCUUAGUUUAAGAAUCUUGGCAUGUCUCUCCAACCCAGAAAAUGCUUCCAUUUUGUUGAGUGAGUCCUAAUUCCCUUAGUCUCUGUGGAUUCUCACAUAUUUGAUGUGCACUGCCUUCAUUUAUCAUUAACAUUUGUCUUUCUCUGUUGUAACACUAUAAUUAGAGAAAUGGGUUCUGGACACGAUUGCUCUGAAUUUUCUCCAUUAUAAAAUCUUAGUAGCAAGGAUCCUGUUUUACCUUCUUUGCCUCUCCCUUAACAGAUCCCUGUCCUAGGAGAGACGGACAAAUCCCAUUCAUUCUGGGCCUGGGGGUGCUAAUGUAGCAGGAAAAGACAGCCUGUUUCUACUUCAAGUUUGUGCCAGGGGAAUCAGAAGGACUGAGACAUGAAUUGACUGACGUUUGACAUUAUCCAUCACAAAAUGCCUUCUUAGAGAAUUACACUUGGAAAAUGUCAUGAAAUGUUCAUCUUGUGCCUUGAUUUGAUCUCUGGCACUAACCAGUGUUGUUGCCUUGUGCUAACACAAUCAUUCACUCUCUCUACUGGAGACUGGUUUCACUUUAUUAAACCUAUGUUUUAAGUUCAUUAAGGUGGAGAACUAUAUGGGUCUGUGAGAGUAGUUUCACAGCUGCAAAUGUUUAAGGUAUUGACUUCCAAUCCAUGCUGGUAGGAGGCCGAGGGCUUGGAUGUUCCAGUCAUUGGGCACCUGUUUCAUAGUGGAGAGGACUGGAUUCAACAGCUUUUCAUACAAAUCCUAUAUUUCUUGACAGUACUAAGGGUGUUGACAAGUCCCACUUACUUUUGAUGAUGGAUCACUGUUUAAUAUUUGGAUUAUAACUAGGGAUGCAAAGAAUUGAAUAA